GGGUACGUAGCUCAGUUGGCUAGAGCAUCUGACUGUGAAUCAGAGUGUCGUGGGUUCAAAUCCCAUCGUACCCC
rnacentral:tRNA from 3 species